UNGUUGUGCUGGCAUGGGCAGCUGAGU
rnacentral:piRNA from 1 species